AGUAGGGCGGGACACGUGUUAUCCUGUCUGAAUAUGGGGGGACCAUCCUCCAAGGCUAAAUACUCCUGACUGACCGAUAGUGAACCAGUACCGUGAGGGAAAGGCGAAAAGAACCCCUGUGAGGGGAGUGAAAUAGAACCUGAAACCGUGUACGUACAAGCAGUAGGAGCACCUUCGUGGUGUGACUGCGUACCUUUUGUAUAAUGGGUCAGCGACUUAUAUUCAGUGGCAAGGUUAACCAUCUAGGGGAGCCGUAGGGAAACCGAGUCUUAACUGGGCGCCAUAGUCUCUGGAUAUAGACCCGAAACCGAGUGAUCUAGCCAUGGGCAGGUUGAAGGUUGAGUAACAUCAACUGGAGGACCGAACCGACUAAUGUUGAAAAAUUAGCGGAUGACUUGUGGCUAGGGGUGAAAGGCCAAUCAAACUCGGAGAUAGCUGGUUCUCCCCGAAAGCUAUUUAGGUAGCGCCUCGGACGAAUACUACUGGGGGUAGAGCACUGUUAAGGCUAGGGGGUCAUCCCGACUUACCAACCCUUUGCAAACUCCGAAUACCAGUAAGUACUAUCCGGGAGACACACGGCGGGUGCUAACGUCCGUCGUGGAGAGGGAAACAACCCAGACCGCCAGCUAAGGUCCCAAAUUACAGCUAAGUGGGAAACGAUGUGGGAAGGCUUAGACAGCUAGGAUGUUGGCUUAGAAGCAGCCAUCAUUUAAAGAAAGCGUAAUAGCUCACUAGUCGAGUCGGCCUGCGCGGAAGAUGUAACGGGGCUAAGUUGUAAACCGAAGCUGCGGCAAUGUUCUAUGAACAUUGGGUAGGGGAGCGUUCUGUAAGCCGUUGAAGGUGUGUUGUAAAGCAUGCUGGAGGUAUCAGAAGUGCGAAUGCUGACAUGAGUAACGACAAGGGGGGUGAAAAACCUCCCCGCCGGAAGACCAAGGGUUCCUGUCCAACGUUAAUCGGGGCAGGGUAAGUCGACCCCUAAGGCGAGGCUGAAAAGCGUAGUCGAUGGGAAACGGGUUAAUA
rnacentral:rRNA from 1 species